CUGUAUGCAUGAAGGGAAAAGAGAUGAAUAUCAAGUUUUUCUGGCCAACCAAGAAAUAAAACCUUAAAAGUGUUUAUUCUUCCUGGAAAAAAAAUCACAGAUACUACUUAAAUAUUAUUACCAGGACAACAAAUUAGCAAAUAAGGCAACCAGUUAGAAAGCAGCAUUUUCAAGGUUAAAGGUUGCAUUUUAAAGCUUUUAGCCAUGACUUCUGAAGGGAUCGCACAAACAUCUUAAAAGACUUCUUUGUUAAUCAGAAAACAGUUUACAUGCAAAUUUCCACACUGGAGAGCCGACCAAGAUCAAUACUUUCAUGAUUAUUCCCAACUUACUGCUUUAUCAGAAAGAACUUUACUACAAAGCAAGAAGUGUCUACUCUUCUGUGAAGGAGUAAGUUUUGUCCUUGUUUCUGAAAUUCUUUAUUCUAGCUGAAUUCUCAAGACUGAGCAGUGAACUUCCAUUGGUUAGCACCAAAUAGAGCAAGCCUGAGUAAGCUGCUUACAAAAAGGGGAAAAAACGACAGAAGAAAACUUUUAAUAAAUGGAAUAUAAGGCACAUAA
rnacentral:sRNA from 1 species